rnacentral:rRNA from 1 species
AGAGCGCAAGGGGAAUGCCUUGGCAUCAGGAGCCGAUGAAGGACGUGACAAGCUGCGAUAAGCUUCGGGGAGGUGCAAAUGACCGUUGAUCCGGAGAUUUCCGAAUGGGGAAACCCGGCAGAGCAAUACUCUGUCAACCUGCGUUGAAUCAAAUAGGCGUAGGUGGGGAACCGCCUGAACUGAAACAUCUAAGUAGGGCGAGGAAGAGAAAUCAACCGAGAUUCCGUAAGUAGUGGCGAGCGAACGCGGAAGAGGCCAAACCGAGAGAAGAAAUUCUUUCGGGGUUCGGACUGCAUUUAGUAUUCCUGAUCUUUAGUCGAACAGUUUGGGAAGGCUGACGAGAGAGUGUGAGAGUCACGUAGACGAAAAGGAGAAGGAGCGAGCAGGAUCCAGAGUACCGCGGGGCACGUGAAAUCCCGUGGGAAGAUGGGGGGACCACCCUCCAAGCCUAAAUACUACUCAAUGACCGAUAGCGUAUAGUACUGUGAAGGAACGGUGAAAAGAACCCCGGGAGGGGAGUGAAAAGAACCUGAAACUCUGUGCUUACAAGCACAUAGAGCACGUCAAUGUGUGAUAUGGUACCUUUUGUAGAAUGGUCCGGCGAGUUAUGGUAUGCAGCAUGGUUAAGGACUUGAGGUCUGAAGCCGAAGCGAGAGCGAGUCUGACAAGGGCGAUAAGUUGUAUGCCAUAGACCCGAAACCGGGUGACCUAGCCAUGUCCAGGCUGAAGUGGAGGUAAAACUCCAUGGAGGGCCGAACCGACCUCCGUUGAAAAGGCGGCGGAUGAGAUGUGGCUAGCGGAGAAAUUCCAAUCGAACCCGGAUAUAGCUGGUUCUCCCCGAAAUAGCUUUAGGGCUAGCGUUGUAUUAGAUUACCGGAGGUAAAGCACUGAAUGGGCUAGGGGCUGAGAAGUUACUGAACCCUAUCAAACUAAGAAUGCCGGAUAAUUGAUGUACAGCAGUCAGACUAUGUGAGAUAAGUCUCAUAGUCAAAAGGGAAACAGCCCAGACCCACAGCUAAGGUCCCAAAAUGGAUUUAAGUGGAAAAGGAUGUGGAAUUGCACAGACAACCAGGAUGUUGGCUUAGAAGCAGCCACACAUUCAAAGAGUGCGUAAUAGCUCACUGGUCGAGUGAUUGUGCGCCGAAGAUGUCCGGGGCUAAAACACACCACCGAAGCUUCGGGUUCGCUGUCAUUUACAGCGCGGACAGGGGGGAAAAGGAAAGAACCUUGUACGUGGUGUAAAUGACAGCGAGCGGUAGAGGAGCAUCGUGCACUGGCAGAAGCGGAAUCGGAAGAGACCGUGGACGGUGCAGGAGAGAGAAUGCCGGUAUGAGUAACGAGAUGCAAGCGAGAAACUUGCACGUCGAAAGCCCAAGGUUUCCUGGGGAAGGUUCAUCCACCCAGGGUAAGUCGGGACCUAAGCCGAGGACAAAAGUCGUAGGCGAUGGACAACUGGUUGAAAUUCCAGUACCACCUGUAAGAGUGAAGCACUGACACAGAAGGAUAGCAUGAGCCGGUUGAUGGUAGAACCGGUCCAAGCGAACGAGGCUGGUGCGUAGUGAAGUACGCGCACCGAGGAAGCUGAGUCGUGAUGGGGAGCGAAAUACGAGUAGCGGAAGCAUGUGAAUUCAGGCUGGCAAGAAAAGGUGCUAACAAUGUUGCAGGUGCCCGUACCGCAAACCGACGCAGGUGGGCGAGGAGAGAAUCCUAAGACGAACGGGAGAACCCUUGUUAAGGAACUCGGCAAAAUGACCCCGUAACUUCGGGAGAAGGGGUGCCUCGAGAGAGGCCGCAGAGAAUAGGCCCAAGCGACUGUUUACCAAAAACACAGGUCUGUGCGAAGUAGAGAUACGACGUAUACGGGCUGACGCCUGCCCAGUGCUGGAAGGUUAAGGGGAAAUGUCAGGGCAACCGAAGCAUGGAACUUAAGCCCCAGUGAACGGCGGCCGUAACUAUAACGGUCCUAAGGUAGCGAAAUUCCUUGUCGGGUAAGUUCCGACCCGCACGAAUGGCGUAACGACUUGGGCACUGUCUCAACAAGGGACCCGGCGAAAUUGUAGUAUGUGUGAAGAUGCACAUUACCCGCGAUAGGACGGAAAGACCCCGUAGAGCUUUACUGUAGCCUGGUAUUGGAUUUUGGUAACGUAUGUACAGAAUAGGUGGGAGACGGAGAAGCGAGGACGCCAGUUCUCGUGGAGUCGCCUUUGGGAUACCACUCUUAUGUUACCGGGGUUCUAACGAGCGGCCGUGAACCGGCGUUCAGACAGUGCCAGGUGGGCAGUUUGACUGGGGCGGUCGCCUCCGAAAGAGUAACGGAGGCGUCCAAAGGUUCCCUCAGAAUGGUUGGAAACCAUUCAUAGAGUGCAAAGGCAGAAGGGAGCCUGACUGCGAGACCGACAGGUCGAGCAGGUACGAAAGUAGGGCUUAGUGAUCCGGCGGUAUGAGAGUGGAAUUGCCGUCGCUCAACGGAUAAAAGCUACCUCGGGGAUAACAGGCUUAUCUCCCCCAAGAGUCCACAUCGACGGGGAGGUUUGGCA